GGAAAAAAAGGAAGAGAGGACUAAUAUGAAAUUUCUCUAGAAUCUAAUAGAAAUAAAAGAGGAAAGGAACGAUUGAUUUGGGGAUCCUCACAAAUGAAAAAAAAUAAAUAAAUAAAUAAAAGAAGAGUCUAGAAUCAAAAAAGGGGGAAAAAAAUACAUUGAAGGGAUGAGGAGAUCGGGUGAGAGGGGUAGGGGAGAGUUGCAACGAAGAAAUUAUCCUUGGGUAAAUUUUCGGAGUGCAAGCCAGCUAGCACGUCAAAUCCCCUUCCCUUCUUUGAUUAGGCUUUAUAGUGUUAUUUUCUUUCGCCUGGAAACAGAAAACCCAACGGAAAGAGAGGAAGAGCCAUGGCUAUCCCUCACCAAAUUAGUUUAUUUUUUUUGGAACUACAGAAAAUCUGACCCUCCUCCACCUCUUUGGAAUGCCAAAUUACCCCUGCAACUCCUAGUUUUAGUGAGAAAUCGACGAAGAGAAAGGGAAUCAGCAUCUACAUUUAGAUGUGCAAAGGCUGCAAUAAAGGUCACCAGGACCUUAAACUUCUUUUUCCAUCUCUAAAUGGUUGAUUUUAAUAUUGAUGAGUGGAGGACACGCACAGCAGUGCCGGGAUCUCUAACAUGGCACAGCAAAAUCCAUAGAAUUCAGCGACUAGUCCAAAACCGAUUGGAGAAAGUGAAUACAACAAUAAGAUCAUGAGUUUAACAAUAGCAAAUUUUAGGGGGGAAAAAAUUUCAUCUCCUCAGAAGAUGCAACGGCGAAACCUGAAUUUGUCGCAAAACUAUAUUGCUAGUUUUUGAGGGUGAACUUACCAGAAAAUCACCAUUUUCGUAUAUUCUUUGUUCUCAGAGUUGCAGGCUUAUUGCUCUUUUUAGGUGUAGAGAUUUCUUUCGAUUUUCAUAGAAAUUGAAGUCAUCUAACAAUGAGGUCUUAGCUGAAUAACUCUUAAAUAUAUUCAGCAUUUCCAAACCUUGCUCCACUCCAAGCUGCGAAUUAUCAUAACAAAUCGUGUCAAUCCAACCUUUAAUAUAACAGAGGCUAUUGGGCACAAAA